AAUGGACUCUCGAGCAGCAGGCAUACACAUGCAAGUCGAACGGUAACAGGAAGCAGCUUGCUGCUUCGCUGACGAGUGGCGGACGGGUGAGUAAUGUCUGGGAAACUGCCUGAUGGAGGGGGAUAACUACUGGAAACGGUGGCUAAUACCGCAUAACGUCGCAAAGACCCAAAGAAGGGGGACGCUUCGGGCCCUCUUGCCAUCAGAUGUGCCCAGAUGGGAUUAGCUUGUUGGUGAGGUAACGGCUCACCAAGGCGACGAUCCCUAGCUGGUCUGAGAGGAUGACCAGCCACACUGGAACUGAGACACGGUCCAGACUCCUACGGGAGGCAGCAGUGGGGAAUAUUGCACAAUGGGCGCAAGCCUGAUGCAGCCAUGCCGCGUGUAUGAAGAAGGCCUUCGGGUUGUAAAGUACUUUCAGCGGGGAGGAAGGUGUUGUGGUUAAUAACCGCAGCAAUUGACGUUACCCGCAGAAGAAGCACCGGCUAACUCCGUGCCAGCAGCCGCGGUAAUACGGAGGGUGCAAGCGUUAAUCGGAAUUACUGGGCGUAAAGCGCACGCAGGCGGUCUGUCAAGUCGGAUGUGAAAUCCCCGGGGCUCACCUGGGAACUGCAUUCGAAACUGGCAGGCUGAGUCUGUAGAGGGGGUAGAAUCCAGGUGUAGCGGUGAAUGCGUAAGAUCUGAGGANACGGUGCGAGGCGCCCCUGACAAGACUACCCAGUCGAAGCUGGACACGAUGUGGGUAAAAAANAA
rnacentral:rRNA from 1 species